rnacentral:piRNA from 1 species
GACCUGACAGGAUUGACUUCUGCUUUCUGA